rfam:Aedes aegypti strain Liverpool supercont1.97 genomic scaffold, whole genome shotgun sequence.
GGCUUGGUAGCUUAGAUGAUAAAGCGCUCGUCUUACAUACAAGAGUCCUGGGUUCCAAUCACAGCCGAGCAC